GGCCCCUUAGCUCAGUGGAUUAGAGCAUGUGAUUCCAGCCUUGGUAAUUCCACAAGGUCAUCCGUUCGACUCGGGUAGGGGUCA